UACUGGUUGAUCCUGCCAGUAGUCAUAUGCUUGUCUCCUAUAUUAGGCCAUGCAUGUCUAAGAGUAACCCCAGUAAGGGGAAGUCUGCGAAUGGCUCAUUAAAUCAGUUAUAGUUUAUUUGGAUGUGGGCUUGCUACACGGAUAACUGUGGCAAUUCUAGAGCUAAUACGUGCUAAGUCCCCAACUUCGCGGAAGGGGUGUAUGUGUUAGGUAUUCAACUGGCUUGCUGGUUGAUUCAUAACAACCUUAACUGACCGCAUAGCCUUGCGCUGGCGGCGUCGCAUUCAAAUUCCUGAUCUAUCAACUUGAAGGUAGGAUAGAGGCCUACCUUGGUUGUAACGGAUGACGGGGAAUUAGGGUUCGGUUCCGGGGAGGGCGCCUGAGAGAUGGCGACCACUUCCAAGGAAGGCAGCAGGCGCGCAAAUUACCCAAUGCUAAUACAGCGAGGUAGUGACAAUAAAUAACAAUGUCGGGGCCUCAAAGCCUCGGCAAUUGGAAUGAGCACAAUUUAAAUCCCUUAGCGAGGAACAACUAGAGGACAAGUCCGGUGCCAGCACCCGCGGUAAUUCCGGCUCUAGUAGCGUAUAUUAAAGUUGUUGCGGUUAAAAAGCUCGUAGUCUGACUUCGGGCUGGGCUGUGAAGGCUCACCGCAAGGUGGGACGGAUAGCCUGGCCUUACCCUCUGAUGUGCUCUCUGCUCUUAACUGAGUGGAUCUGUCGCACAGAGGCGUUUACCUUGAGCAAAUUGAGGUGUUCAAGGCAGGCAUAAUCGCUCGUACACGUUAGCAUGGGAUAAUGAAAUAGGGCCUUGGGUUCGCUGUUGCCGGUUGGUGAGCCCGGGCAAUGAUCAACAGGGGCGGUCGGGGUGCUUCAUAUGCAGGCGCUAGAGGUGAAAUUCUUGGGCCGUCUGCAGAUGCCCAGAUGCGAAAGCGUUGCACCAGUACGUCCCCAUUGAUCAAGAACGAAAGUUAAGGGAGCGAAGACGAUCAGGUACCGUCGUAGUCUUAACCCUAAACGAUACCGACCAGGGAUCGAGGAUAGUCCCAUGGUUGACUCCUUCGGAACCUUGUGGGAAACCACGAGUCUUUGGGUUCUGGGGGGAAUAUGGUCGCAAGGCUGGAACUUAAAGGAAUGACCUUC
rnacentral:rRNA from 1 species